GUGUGAAUCCCAGGGCGCUUCUCCAUUGGCACGGUGGCAUGCAUGCAUGUAGCCAGGUGAGUUGAAGAAGCUCCAUGCACGGAAGCUACCUAGCUAGCCAUGCUGUGCGUGCCAAAGGAGAAUUGCCCUGCGAUUCACCU
rfam:Triticum aestivum genome assembly, contig: Triticum_aestivum_CS42_TGACv1_scaffold_032489_1BL